GCGUGGGCUUGGGCUCACGGCAGGGCCAUCCCCCUGGGCUCUCACAGUGUCCCAAACCAGAGCAAACCAGCCCCACACCAUUUCUGGGAGCGCAGAUCACUCCCAAAUUCAUCCUUGUCCAUAGGCCUCGACACUGAAGCAGGUUGCACAGUG
rnacentral:snoRNA from 1 species